rnacentral:rRNA from 1 species
GUGGGGAAUUUUGGACAAUGGGCGAAAGCCUGAUCCAGCAAUGCCGCGUGCAGGAUGAAGGCCCUCGGGUUGUAAACUGCUUUUGUACGGAACGAAAAGCCUGGGGCUAAUAUCCCCGGGUCAUGACGGUACCGUAAGAAUAAGCACCGGCUAACUACGUGCCAGCAGCCGCGGUAAUACGUAGGGUGCAAGCGUUAAUCGGAAUUACUGGGCGUAAAGCGUGCGCAGGCGGGUUUGUAAGACAGUGGUGAAAUCCCCGGGCUCAACCUGGGAACUGCCAUUGUGACUGCAAGGCUAGAGUGCGGCAGAGGGGGAUGGAAUUCCGCGUGUAGCAGUGAAAUGCGUAGAUAUGCGGAGGAACACCGAUGGCGAAGGCAAUCCCCUGGGCCUGCACUGACGCUCAUGCACGAAAGCGUGGGGAGCAAACAGGAUUAGAAACCCCUGUAGUCC